rnacentral:lncRNA from 1 species
GCAGAGUAGACAGGCUCCUGGGGAAUGUGCAUCCAUUUAAGGAAGGCAGCUCAUCCUGCAGCACCAGGUCUAUAUACAGUAACGAGUCCCUUCCCUCCUGCUCUCGGGGGAAUGUCGCCCUCCACAGACACCAGCGCGAGGAAGGAGCCCCUCCAGUUGUAGUGGGAAGGUCAGACAUGGCUGUUGGUCAGGAAGGCCCUGCUGCCUGGCUCCACCAGGAGGGAGAAGCACGCCUCACCACCGAGGAGCUAAACCACGACACAGCAAGCGAGACGUCUUGUGUGAUACAGAGGACAGCAGGGCAGGUGGGGUGGGGACAGGUGCCCAAGAGCAGCAUCUGUCAGCCAGGACUUUGGAAGGCUGGGUCCUAGGAGGCCCGCAAGAUGAAGAGCAGGCCCAGGGCCCUGGCUUUUGGAACAGGCAAAGAAGAAGCCACAAGCCAGGCCAGGGCACAGUGGGAGAGACAGCAAGACCACAGGGGCCAUAGUUUCCCUGCACUGAGGUGACAGAGGCAGGAGAUGACAUGAGCUCUGGCCAUGCAUGGUGCCAGGUGGUCAAGAUACUCGGAGGAUACACCUUGACAAGACACCUGUCAGGGAGGGGGCGAGGCAGCAGGGGCGUUGAGUGCAGAGCUCCUGAGUUCUCUGCCUGGCUUGUGGACAGCCAGAGCCGCUGGGGCUGGCUGGGGCUGGCUGGGGCUGGGCCGUGUUUGGGAGGCUGGUGAACAGAAAUGCAGCCCACACUGCUGCGCUGAAGGGCAGCCCCACCCCUACCUGGGCUUCCGCCCAGUCGUGGAGGCAGAGCCGCAGCCCUUGCCCACCUGCCUCUGAUGUCCCGGGGCACUGGGAAGGCGGGCAGCCAAGUGCCAGCCCUAGUCUCGCUCAGUCUCAUUGCUGGCACCUUCCGGCCGCCGCAGCUUCUCUACCUGCUCAUUGAUCUGCCCAUCGCCGCCCCGUCGGUCCUCCCUCUGCACCCCAAGGACGUCCUCCUCAUCCACAUGGCUGACGUCAUCAUCCUCAUCGUCCUCAUCCUCCUUGUCCUCCCUCUUCUCCUCCUCACCCUGCACCUCCAUCCUCACCUGGCCCUUGACAUCUAGCACCCCUUCACCCUCUUCCUGGGGACCCAGCAGGUGGUAUGUGGCCGUGGAGCCCUCCGGGCUGUGGCUGUCCUUCCCAGGAGAGGAUGACGUAGACUCGUUGCUGACAGGGGAGAUGUCACUGCUGCUGUGGUGGUUGACAGCCGCAGGGCUGGAGGGUGAUGAAGACUUCACUGGGAUCUGCCAGGAGGGGAUCUUCGGGGCCGACGGGGAAGGAGGGAACUGUCUCCUAGCAGUGGACAAGGAAAAAGAAAAGCAGGUAGAGGUUGGUGACAGCACCUGGCUCCAGUGCCACACAUCCCCUUGGUCCCUGAUCCCUGAACACUCAAGCGAUGGCAGCAGUUUCUCCAGGGUCACGAGGCAGGGCCCACUGGAGGCCCCAUCAGCCAAGCUAGUGUGUCUACCAGAAGUGUUCAGUGCUGCCCGAUGCCCUAACGCAGCCUCGCCCACCCCAGGGCAGGACCUACCCACCUUGGCAACUGUUGGUCUGCCAGCAGGGGGCCCAACACGCUCUGGAGUUGCCCCACCCACAUUCAAUAUUGUCCCUACUCCUCUCCUGUGGCCAGAUGGGGACAAGGAGGCAAAAGAGGACCAAGGCUGGGAACCCGGGAGCCCCUGGCUAAUGUGCCCAUAAUCUCAGCCAAGGACAGCAGUGGGGAACCCUGGCUACUGUCAUUCAGACCUCUGAGCCCAAACUUUGACCAAGCAAAAGCCAGCUCUGCUGGGCCCUCAGCCAGCAGCCAGCCAGACUGAAGCCCAUUCCAGGACAGACCUGGGAAGUUGGGUCAACAUGGUCAUGGCUCAGAAGUGCAGCUCUAUAACAUGAAGUCCUGUUUCUGCAAAGGCCAAGAGGACAAGUCCUGUUCCUGCCCAGGGCUGUGCCACCUACCAGCACUGGUCACACAGUCAGCCUUCAACCCCAGAGCCCACCCGGUGGCACACGCACAUCCGGGCCUGCACCACACACACACAAGCAGCUCAGUUUGCGGUUUCCUUGGUUUCAGGGUCACCUGAUGGCCUGCAUCUGUCCCCUAACCACAGAGGCACCUGUCUUCUAGGUUUGGAAGGCCAAAGACUUCUAAGGACAGACAAUCUGCAUGCCCUGCCUGACUGGCCACAUCUGUUGUGGAGACACCCCCCCUCACCUUAGGAAGUGUGCCCCUCCAGCCUG